rnacentral:rRNA from 1 species
CCUACGGUGCGCAGCAGUGGGGACUAUUGCACAAUGGGGGGAACCCUGCUGCAGCAACGCCGCGUGGGUGAAGAAGUACUUCGGUAUGUCAAGCCCUGUCAGCAGGGAAGAAAAUGACGGUACCUGACCAAGAAGCCCCGGCUAACUACGUGCCAGCAGCCGCGGUACUACGUAGGGGGCCAGCGUUAUCCGGAUUUACUGGGUGUAAAGGGAGCGUAGACGGCAAGGCAAGUCUGGAGUUAAAGCCCGUGGCUCAACCACGGGACUGCUUUGGAAACUGUGUUGCUGGAGUGCAGGAGGGGUAAGCGGAAUUCCUAGUGUAGCGGUGAAAUGCGUAGAUAUUAGGAGGAACACCGGUGGCGAAGGCGGCUUACUGGACUGUAACUGACGUUGAGGCUCGAAGGCGUGGGGAGCAAACAGGAUUAGAUACCCGGGUAGUC